UGCAAGAAGUGAGGGAGAGAGUUAC
rnacentral:piRNA from 1 species